GGCCGGGGGCGCAGGUCACGACCACCCCCCAUCCGCCACGGACCGCCCGGGUCCCCCCGAGUCUCCGGAUCCGAAAUCUACCCCGAGGCAGCGGGACCCGCCCAGACCCUCCACCCGGGAGAGUCCCAGGCGCCUUUACCGAGGUUCAUUUUCAGUUUAGGCCAAAAUCCCCGCGGGUUGGGCGGGGAGGGGGCGGGGCUAGCUGGGCGGGGCUGACUGCGGGGACCGGCUAGGGUCUCACACCCUCCAGGGAAUGAAUGGCUGCGACAUGGGGCCCGACGGACGCCUCCUCCGCGGGUAUCACCAGCACGCGUACGACGGCAAGGAUUACAUCUCCCUGAACGAGGACCUGCGCUCCUGGACCGCGGCGGACACCGUGGCUCAGAUCACCCAGCGCUUCUAUGAGGCAGAGGAAUAUGCAGAGGAGUUCAGGACCUACCUGGAGGGCGAGUGCCUGGAGUUGCUCCGCAGAUACUUGGAGAAUGGGAAGGAGACGCUACAGCGCGCAGAUCCUCCAAAGGCACACGUUGCCCACCACCCCAUCUCUGACCAUGAGGCCACCCUGAGGUGCUGGGCCCUGGGCUUCUACCCUGCGGAGAUCACGCUGACCUGGCAGCGGGAUGGGGAGGAACAGACCCAGGACACAGAGCUUGUGGAGACCAGGCCUGCAGGGGAUGGAACCUUCCAGAAGUGGGCCGCUGUGGUGGUGCCUUCUGGAGAGGAACAGAGAUACACAUGCCAUGUGCAGCACGAGGGGCUGCCCCAGCCCCUCAUCCUG
rnacentral:misc_RNA from 1 species